rnacentral:tRNA from 1 species
UCCGGUUUCGUCUAAUGGCAGGAUACCUGACUUUGACUCAGUUGACGCUAGUUCGACCCCAGCAACCGGAUCCA